rnacentral:lncRNA from 1 species
CUUCAUUUCCCAGAUGGAGCAACUCAGGCACAGAGAGCAAGUCAUUGGCCACGGUCUCCCAGCUGAGGAAGGAUGGAGCCGGCUGAGAUCCUGUUCUGGGGAUCUAACUGCAGCCUGCAUUCUGGGCUGUUGUAUUCUCCCAUGUUGCUAUCUGACGAGCACAGCAUGGGCUCAGAGUACAGAGAGGAGGAACCAGGUAAUAAGGAGAGGCCUGGGAGAAGGCUGGUGCCUUGGGGAGGAAGAGAGAGGCCCCAUUCUAAAGGGAUGGCAUUGGAAGCUCAUAGUGAUAAAGCAAAGCCGACAGGUUGUGGGGCUGGGAGUUAAACACACAGCUCUGGUUUCUGCCUUUUCACAGUGGUGAUGAAUGGGCACUGAGACCCUCUCGAGCUAAAGUUGUCAUCACUGCUCUUCAUAGUCUGAAGGUGCAUGAAAUGGUCAACUUUCUUCCAAAGGGCUUUUAUGCCUAAGUCUGUGGUUAGUGUCUAAACAGAUAUUUACUGAAGUCCUGCUGGGUGCAGACACUGUGGCCAGCCCUGAGGCUACAGUCGAGAUGUAGCCAGUCUCUGUCCUCAUGGAGACCUGUCUAUUGAUAAGAAAAGAGAAAACUCACUGAGCAUUGACCCUGUGCCCACUGCUUUUGAUGCAUCUCUCAUUUAAUCCUUCUAUGAAAUCUGUGAAAUAAACACAUCACCAUCAUCCCUAUUUCACAUUUAGGGAAACAUAUGCUUAGAGAGCGUAAGUAACUUGGUCAAGGUCGCACAGAUUCGAACUCUCAUCCCACAGGUGCAGGAAUGAGAGGCAGCAGCCGGGGAAGCCAGGGUCUCCGGAAGUCCUUGUCUCAGGGCAGUGAUCCAGAGAGAGAGAGAACACGAUUGUCUCAGCAAUGGGUCUUCUUCUGCGUCUUGAAGGAGCACUUCCAGAGCCUCUCGGUGUUAAACAUCAUGUUGUGAAUGACUCCGUGAGCUCUGACCCAGUGACCUUGGGGAUAAAGGAGGGGAGGUACUAUUCUAGAUUGUCCUGUGACAUUUACAAUCUAGGAGAAGGCAGGAGAGAGAACUAAGAACAGAGAGCAUGUUCUGAGAUGUCUGCUGUGUUUGCAGGUACCUUCCCUCAAUUUCCCUACUCAUUGGCCAUGCUAGAAAACAGGUCUUGGCACCAUAUUUGUACCAUGGUACUUCCCCUCCCUAUACUCAAUUGGUUGGCCAGAAGCCCAAUUGUCAUUCUCUUUCUCUCUCUCUCUCUCCCUCUCCC